UAUAGAACAUAUUGAAGUAUUUUUCGUGAAACUUCAACAAACAUGGGUGUAUUGCGAACCUGCGUGUUUCUGUUAAUAGUUGCGGCGGAGAUGCAACUGAUUACAAGUCAACCAAUCUUCGAGUCAUUCAUCUGUAGCUUCUUAUGCGGUGACGACGAUGACUCGGAUUACUGUGACAUCUGCGACGAUUCAGUAGAGACCACUACAAAGAAACAACCAGUCCAGUCCAUUUCAGUGAAACUACCUGAUUCGCCUGACAUGACUCUAAGUUUGGUAAACAACGACGGUGUCUGGUCUAUCAAAGUGGAUACUGACCGUACCCCAGUGGCUCCAGGAUCCACAACUGCAGCAAGCACAAUGGCAGCUGACUCCACAACAGCAUCACCUGCCACGACCAGCUCUGCCAGCGACACUACUACUGCUUCAACAACAACAACAGCACCAUAGUGCUCCAUAUUUUUGCAAGUUAGCCACGAUAACAAGCAAGGUAGAAUGUGUGAAACAUUUAAAAAUAUACAGUUUUAAGCGUU